rnacentral:rRNA from 1 species
GCUUACGGCCAUACCACGUCGAAAACACGACAUCCCUUCGAUUAAGCAACGUCGGGCCUGAUCAGUACUUGGAUUGGAGACAGCUUGGGAAUCCCAGGUGCUGUAAGCA